rnacentral:misc_RNA from 1 species
AUGUCCAUAGCGUUGCAUCUCAUUGGAUUGCACAAGUUGAGAAACACCAGAUGUGCUCAGGGAAACAUUGGUUAUUUUGUCUCCUCUAUCUGAUCUCAUAGAUGAAGCUACUUUAACAGGAUUUCCCUUCUUAGCAGUUUCUUUUGCUGUCGACUUACCUGAAGCUCGUCUAGUUUUACGCUCAGAACUACCUUUUGAAGCACCACGUGCAAUAGCUACAUCAGAAACCUUUGAACUUCCCCGAGAAAGAUCUUGAGCAAUCUUGGGAUCCAAUUGGCCUAAGCCAGAGGUUGAAGUAGAUCCAUCCACAAUCGGGGAUGCUUUGCCAGCUUCUAUAUUUGAAAAGGGCUGCCAUUUCUUGGCAUCUUUUUGAGGCGGAUCUGCCAGUGGAGUGACCUCAAAAGUGAAGCUACUAUCAUCUUUAGAGGCAUCAUUUUGAUUUGGAUCCUUAGAAGCAGACUGCAUUUUGAUGGCAUUGCCAUCAGUUACCUCAGAAACUGAAACACCCUGGUUUGACAAUAUUUUGAGUUCCUCCUUAUUACUUUGAUCACAAGAAAGCUCAGUAGUUCUAAUGACAGCAGGGGAACCACCAGCUGGCUUGUCAAGAUCAUCACUGCGUUCAUGUACUACUGAAACAUUUUUAGUUUUUUUGUCAUCAUUUACUAGUGCUUCAAUGCUGUAUUCCUGGUUUGUAAUUGAACCACAAUGAAUUGGACACACUUCUUCAUCCUUUGUGUCAUGGCCAUCUUUUUCUAUCACUACUGCUUGGCAUUCAAUUCGGCUUUCUGUAUUACGAGCAUCCACUACUGACAGAGAAUGAUCAACUGGCUCACACAGCACCUCUUCAGCAGCAGCAGAAGAUUCCUUUUCAGAUUCAGAAACAGGAUCUACUCCAGUUGUCACUUGACUAGAUGCCUUAUGAUCAGAUAAACUUGCUUCCGUGGAAAUCUUGGCAACAGUUUCUUCCUCUUUAUCUGAGUAAGUAAACACUGCAGGUAAACCUGACACUUCAAAAUCCUUGUGAUCAACAACCACAUCAGUAGUAAUGCAAUUCUCAGAGGACACUGGAGCAUCACCCACUGUAUUACAGGAUAAGUUAGCAUCUUUGAAGGUGAAAUCUGAUGCUGAUUCACUUACAGCAGUGGUAUCUGAUUGAGGUUUAGAAACUAUCAACUCAAUUUCUAUGCUACCUUCACCGAAAGAAGAGGUCCCAACUCCUUUAUCAAUGAUUAUAUCUCUAUUACUAUCAUCAGAAGGCAACUCCACGAUCCCUUUUUGCUCAAUAACAGGAACAUCUUUAUCACAUUUGUCAACGUCGCAUUGUCUGGGGACCUUAUUUUCUUCAUCCAUUUGCAUGGAUUCAACAAUUGCCGAUGGCAAAACAUGGCCUUCAACAUGUGUGUUACUAACAAACUCAGCUGAAGAACAGACCUCAGGCAAACUAGAAUUAAUGGCUCCAUGGCUACUGCUUUCAUCCACUUUAUCUUCAGAACAUUUAUUGUCUUCUGUAGGCAACAGACAUGCCCCAGACUUACUCACUAAGUUCUUGGCGUCCAAGUGGGACCCAUUAGACUUCUCAACUUCAUGCCUUUCAGCUGUAGCAUUUCCUUCAACCACCACAGAUGGUACUUCAUGUGCAUCUACUCCAGAAUGAACAUACUGCAUCUCUAAGCCAGAAUAACCCUUGGGUAUUACACUAGGAUCCUCCACGCUGCCCAUGCUAGUUUCAAUUGCACUUGUUUCUUCCAUAGAUUCUACAGAGGCCAUACAAAGAGGAUUGUCCAAAUACGAAGAGUCCCUUUCAGCCAUUUCUGCACUCAAAACCUGAGCAUGCAUUUGAGCCCCUUGGCUUAAUACACCCCCUUCCUCCUGAUACUCACCCUUAUCUGUUCCUGAAAGAUCUAGAUUUUCAUCGGCAAUCUCAUUUACAUGAUUUGAUGAACCUUCAUUAAUCAAUCCAUCAUUUCCCUUAAUGAUAUUUUUUGCAUUAGCAAAUGCAUUAUUAAUUUGUGUCGCUGAAGCAGAACCUUCUUGUGUCCUGUUAUCUAAAGAUUCAUUAAUAACAGUAUCGCCUUCCCUUUGAUUAAUUUCAUUACAUUUAUCAUCAAUGAACUGACUCCCCUCAGCAAUGGGUAACCUGACGUCUACACUAAUAGCAGUUAGGUCACCUAAACCUGGAUCAACAGAUGCAAUGGCUUGAUGAGCCUGUGAACUAUCCCUAACUUGAGGCUGCUGCCCACCACCAUCAUCAUUUAACACAGAAAAAUUUUCAGGAAAUUCACCUGGCUGUAAUGUGGGCUGCAAAUUAGUAACACCUACCACUCUAGCUGGUAUAUUAGUAUCCUGUUUUGAGCUGGGCUCCAUUUGCUUUAUUAUGCAACCCAGUUCAUCACAGGCAUCCGACUCCUUUGAACUAAUUUGUGCAGGAAUAUGUUCUUCCUGGCCAACAGAUUUUAAUAACAUUUCAACAGAUUCUGAGGAAGUUGCCUCAGACCAGACAUUGUUGCACCUAGAAAUUGAGCAAGACUCUGCACCACCUGAAUUGAACUGUAUCCCACUGCUACCCCGGGAGAAAUCUUCAAUCCACUGGCUAUCUUCGUUACUUUCAAUGCCCAGAAAAACCUCAGUUUCAACCAAACUGUCAAACCUCAAAUUUCCGUGAAGACUGUCAUCAAAAUCAAACUUUGGAAGAGCAUAUGGCCGUAGAACAGGAGGAAAUUUAUUGCUCCCUUCACCAGCUAAAUGAAGAUUCUGGCUGUGAAAAUCAUUGUCAUCAUAAUCCAUGGGUGUAUGCCUCCCUCCAUCCGGUGACGAAAUCCAGGCCGGUUGAUCCUCAACUGUUCCCCAAUCGUAAGCUCAUCUACUGUUCCACAAAAAUCACGAUGAAAAAGCUGAUAUUAGCCCUCCUAACUCCUAAAUUUGCUCACUUUCAGCUAAAGGAAAAACCUAAUCAAGUAACACAAAACAACCAAACACAAACAAUUUCUGCUCACUAAAGACUGUAUACUCAACGGAAUCUUUAAUUCUCCGGCGGAUCAAGCUAGGGUUUCGGUUAAUCGAAAGAUGGAAAGGCCAAGCAAGGUAGGUACAAAGAUAGAGAGAGAGAGUGAUAUUUUUUUCUCUAGGGAAAUGAAAACGGGCUC